UUCAUGCCACAGUGUCAAAUACCCAAGUUGGUUCCGGGUAGUGAAUAAUGUGAUUGUCUUCAGAAGAAAGAGUCCCUGCUCCUGCAGCUAACUCCUCUCCUACAACAAAUUUUCCCGGGGACCAAAAAGAAAAGACAUUGACAUCAUUUCCGACUUACAAACUCCAUGCAAUGCAGCGGAGUUAAGAUACGAUAUGUCCAAUUACAACAUGGAUUUCCAGUUGGAUGAUGAUGCCCUCCC